AUACGUAGGGGGCGAGCGUUGUCCGGAAUGAUUGGGCGUAAAGGGCGCGUAGGCGGCCCGGUAAGUCUGGAGUGAAAGUCCUGUUUUUAAGAUGGGAAUUGCUUUGGAUACUGUCGGGCUUGAGGGCAGGAGAGGUAAGUGGAAUUCCCAGUGUAGCGGUGAAAUGCGUAGAGAUUGGGAGGAACACCAGUGGCGAAGGCGACUUACUGGACUGUAACUGACGCUGAGGCGCGAAAGUGUGGGGAGCAAACAGGAUUAGAUACCCUGGUAGUCCACACUGUAAACGAUGAAUGCUAGAUGUAGGGGGUAUCGACCCCUUCUGUGCCGCAGUCAACACAAUAAGCAUUCCGCCUGGGGAGUACGGCCGCAAGGUUGAAACUCAAAUGAAUUGACGGGG
rnacentral:rRNA from 1 species